rnacentral:rRNA from 1 species
GUUUGAUCCUGGCUCAGGACGAACGCUGGCGGCGUGCCUAAUACAUGCAAGUCGAGCGAGUCUGCCUUGAAGAUCGGAGUGCUUGCACUCUGUGAAACAAGAUACAGGCUAGCGGCGGACGGGUGAGUAACACGUGGGUAACCUGCCCAAGAGAUCGGGAUAACACCUGGAAACAGAUGCUAAUACCGGAUAACAACAGAUGAUGCCUAUCAACUGUUUAAAAGAUGGUUCUGCUAUCACUCUUGGAUGGACCUGCGGUGCAUUAGCUAGUUGGUAGGGUAACGGCCUACCAAGGCGAUGAUGCAUAGCCGAGUUGAGAGACUGAUCGGCCACAUUGGGACUGAGACACGGCCCAAACUCCUACGGGAGGCAGCAGUAGGGAAUCUUCCACAAUGGACGCAAGUCUGAUGGAGCAACGCCGCGUGAGUGAAGAAGGGUUUCGGCUCGUAAAGCUCUGUUGUUGGUGAAGAAGGACAGGGGUAGUAACUGACCUUUGUUUGACGGUAAUCAAUUAGAAAGUCACGGCUAACUACGUGCCAGCAGCCGCGGUAAUACGUAGGUGGCAAGCGUUGUCCGGAUUUAUUGGGCGUAAAGCGAGUGCAGGCGGCUCGAUAAGUCUGAUGUGAAAGCCUUCGGCUCAACCGGAGAAUUGCAUCAGAAACUGUCGAGCUUGAGUACAGAAGAGGAGAGUGGAACUCCAUGUGUAGCGGUGAAAUGCGUAGAUAUAUGGAAGAACACCGGUGGCGAAGGCGGCUCUCUGGUCUGUUACUGACGCUGAGGCUCGAAAGCAUGGGUAGCGAACAGGAUUAGAUACCCUGGUAGUCCAUGCCGUAAACGAUGAGUGCUAAGUGUUGGGAGGUUUCCGCCUCUCAGUGCUGCAGCUAACGC